rnacentral:pre_miRNA from 1 species
AUCACCUGGAGAUUUUGUGAAAAUGCAGAAUCUGAUCCAGGAGGUCUCAGGUGGGGCCUAAGAUUCUGCAUUUCUAGCAAACUCUCAAAUGAUGCUGC